rnacentral:rRNA from 1 species
UACGUAGGUGGCGAGCGUUGUCCGGAUUUACUGGGCGUAAAGAGCGCGCAGGCGGCUGGUCAAGUCCGAUGUGAAAGCUCCCGGCUUAACUGGGAAAUUGCAUCGGAAACUGAUCGGCUGGAAGGUGGGAGAGGGUAGCGGAAUUCCUGGUGUAGCGGUGAAAUGCGCAGAUAUCAGGAAGAACAUCAGUGGCGAAGGCGGCCUUCUGGUCCAGUACUGACACUCAAGUGCGAAAGCGUGGGGAGCAAACAGG